rnacentral:lncRNA from 1 species
CAGCAUAAAAAUCGUGAGAUAUUUAUCGUGAUGGAUUUAAAGGUGAAAGGGAUGGGUGACCGGCUACAAGUACUCCACUCAGCCUUGCUAUCUUUCCCCAUUCUGCUUCCUCUUUCUAUUGCGAGAGAUAUUUUCUGCUCAACCCCACGAGACGGCGAAGUUUCAAGCCCGAAGCAAGAAGAGGUUCCGCCCUUACUUCCCUGUUCAAUUCUUCGUUAUAACUUUCUGUUGGAAAUCUCUCGUCUUUCUACUGAAAUCUACGAAGAUACUCCUAUUUGCAGAAGGGCGGUGUGCUGCAGCAUUCGUGUUGUUUUCUUUCUUAGAUGCGAUGGUGCCAUGGAGAAUGGAGGCUCGUGUGGCGGAGACAGUGUUUGUGAUGCUCUGCGGCUGGCUCUCCUCCUGCCUCGCCGUUGCCGGCGACGUCGCCCACGCCCUCAGAACCAAUGACCUCUCAAUCUAGGCCACCUUUGACACCAACGGCGACAAGGAACCAACUCUGCUUCUACAGACUGGCCACUUCUAGAUUGCAGACAAAGAGUUCUUCCGUAAGACAAGUUCGAUGUAAAGGAGAAAUCUUCAUAUAGAAUAGAUGUGAAAUCUUGUCACAAAGAAAGAGAUGGCUACUGCUCGAAGUGACCUGACUUUCUAGCACUACAAAGCUCGUCGACGGAACUACACAGAGAAAUAUCCGAUAAAAAAAACCUUGAGAAGGUGCAGCGGUGUAUAUACGGAUUCUAACUCAUGAGAGGUUCCAAACCAUCUGGACUUCGAUGUUAU